AAUUCCUUGUGUGUCCAAUCACACUUGGCCAAUAAAGAAUUCUAUAGUACUACUGGUUAGGAAUGAAUGACUAUUUUGCUCAGAAAUCACUACCACCUCCAGGACAGCAUAAUUUUAUUGAAUCAAUGGGUAAACCCAGACAUGUUUGCCCUUUACCAUCAUAAUUAGAAUGUAGGAUAGGUCUAAUGUGCAAUCACACAAUUCAAAUAGCAGCGUAAUCAACCUAACUAGUAGACAUAAAUCUCAUACAUCAGGGGACAAGGUUGCAAUAAUCUUCUACAGAACUUGGCAUUCAUAAAUAGGAACAUUCAUUUGAUGAAGCUGAGAACAUUUGGUGAAGUAUUUGACUGAAACUGUCAAGGUCUAGGGAGGGCAUAAUUUUAAUACUUGAUUUCUCAGAACUCUAAGAGAUACUCUGCCUCAGGACUCCCGAUAAAAGGACAGAACUGGAAUUUCAACUUCAAUCCUGCAACUGGGACUGCAUUGAUAAAGUUUCCCACAGAGGUAAGCCAGUGAUUGGGGGAAUGUCAAGGAGGAAAAACUGCCUAAGGGGAAUAAUGAGAAGAGACAAUUCUAGUUAAACCUACUAAAAUAACAAGUUUUACAAACGGGGUGUAGAUCAAGUGUCUUGUACAGAAUGAAGGGUCCUAAUUGCCCCCGAGCUUCAAAUGUAAGUAAACUAUUAAUGAGGGCAGUGGGUUUUAUAGGGAUGUGUAUGAGUGAGCAUUAAGACAGUCUAGAAUUUUGCAACUACCAGCUACUUAUGAAUUGAUUUUCUUUGCAGAAAUCUGAAACAGCGACAGGGGAAAAAAAGUCAUUGCCAUCAGAAAUCCACUGCAGCUCUCAACAUAGAUAGGUAACCUGGCAAGCAGAAAAUUAAGAGGCAAAGAUGUUCACUGCUCUAUUGUAAAAAGUCCUGGGCUUGAAUAAAGGACCGUUAUACAGGAUGCGCAACUUACUGAACAUGGAACUGCUGCAGCUGUUGUCUUUCUGUCUAUCAUACAGAUGGUUUUAGAGCUGUGGCUCCUUGUAUAAGGCUGUCAGGAUUUUCCAGCUUAACCAAUAUUGUUCAAUAAAAACUAUAUUUUGCCUCUAUUGACAUGAGAAAUAGCUGUUUCUUUCCAGUUAUUCACUACAGCUUUGGGCAGUGGAAUAGGGCAUAUAGAUUUGAACAGAUGCUGGGCUCCUCUAACGUGUUUUAGUAGAGUAAUCACAGAAAUAUCCAAAAUGAGAAGAAAGAUAUUGUGGGACUAAAGACUUUAAUAGAUCAAUUAUAUGUCUCUCUUCACUACUUGAUAUAAUAAACCAAGUGUGUCUGUAUGAGGCAACGGAAGGAUGAGGAAGACUGAUAGCACUUAAUACGUAGUCAUAUUCCAUGUUAGGAAAACAACAGCAUAAAAAAUAUAGCAAUGAAACACUGAGGGCUGAGCAAGAAUUUUUAUUCCUCUCAAUAUUGUCCUAAGUACUGAAAAGUGUGAUUUACAGUAAUUGGAGAUGGUCUUAGCCUUUUGUGACACC